CCCUACAACCAAUCCCCACGCUCCUCGAGCCCCACGUCCGGUUCCUCCUCCCCCACUCUCCACCCCCACGCUCCCCGUGCAGCCGCCGCCUCUCCCCAUCCUCCCAUCUCGCAGGAGCCGCCGCUCCCCGGUUCUUUCCCUGCCCUCUGAGGAGCCCCCAUCCCAUCCUCGCACCAGAGCUCGGUGGCAGCGGAGAAGAGGAUCGAUGGUGGGAGAGGAUGGGAGAUUGAGGAGAGAGAGAACCGAUGCAGAGGAGAGGGGAGACAAGGUGGGCAGAGGCCAGGCGUCGUCACCGGAGACGCGGAUCUGCGGCGUAGUGGGAGAGGUGACGCCGGCUGGUGAGCGACUCACCACCAGCUACUGUUUGGCGCGGGCAUGGAGAAGGGUACCGGGGAUGUGCUGAUCUAUUUUCUUGUGGCUCUCCAUUAGCAUGAUUCCCCUCGACCACCAUAUCAAUCUGGCUGCCUUCUGUACAUGUGAUUUUGGUUGAGUUGUGGUUUUGACUAAAGCAGGCAAUCAACAAGAAAACAAUACCAUGUUCGAUACUAUUUGUACCAGUUUUGGUCAUCACUAAAGCUUGUGGGGACCAUGGGAAGCUAAUGUGGGUCUCCUAGCGGCGCAAUGGGAUACAUGAUAUCAGCAUGCCAUGCUUCCCCGACUAGGUCAUCGUCGUUGCGCACAGGAAAAGGAAAUUCACAAUUCAUACAAAGGAAUGCCAUGCUUCCUGUUUUUACUCCACUCUUGGCCUGGAUCCAAAGCCCCCCUUCGGUUUUGGAUGUGCUCUCUUAGGGGUAAUGCUGCCAUUGCCAUGGUCCACCACACUCGGUGCUGCAAGGGGGAUUGCCUUCCUGCACGAAGCUGAGAAGCCCGUCAUCUACAGGGAUUUCAAGACAUCCAACAUAUUGCCCGAUGAGGAGUACAAUGCAAAGCUCUCUGACUUCAGCCUAGCGAAAGACUGGACCGGUCAGUGACGAGUCACAUCUUGACCUACAUCAUAGUCUCCUAUGGUUAUACCGCCAUGGAGUACAUCAUGACAGCCAAACUAAAAAUUAGAGCAGCCAUCUAUGCCUCCUAGGAGGGCCAAGACCAGAACAUCACAAAAAUGUAACAUAUCAAGAAAUCAUUCUGUAAGAUAGUAUCCAUCCUAAGUUAUUAUUACCAUGUGAAAAGGUAGUUGUGCGGAAGAGCACAAUCUAUUAUUGUUGUGUCGUGUGCAUGCACACACAUAUUCCGUACAAUGUUAAUCUAAUAGUGUUUAUUACCAUAUGAAAAAUAUCAUAACUUGACAUGUACAUAUGCUCUUCUCUGUUAUGAGCACUUGAGUGUCUUGCGGUUGUAGCCAUGGCUAAAGUAGAACUUAAUUUGGUGACUAAUAUCAUGACUUGAGAUGUAUGAACAACCAUGGCUAAAGUAGAACUUAAUUUGGUGACUAAUAUCAUGACUUGAGAUGUAUGAAGUUUGCCUGUUGAAUUAAUUCCAUUUAGAAUCUAUGUGCUUGAGCCAGGCAAGAAAAAUAAGCAGCGCUUUUACCACCAUGAUAUGAAGUGUUACCUUGUGUGAGCAUUGAGUCUUGCUUCCUACUGAAAUAGAUAUAUGUCCCAAUGUCUUGUGACAUGUUCCUGCUAGAAAAUUAUGUGGGUCUGUGAUGUGAAAACUUGGAAAGGGGACUGAUUUGUCUCCCUUAUGAUAAUUGAGAAAUUCCAACACUGAUUUGUCUCCUGUCAUCUACGAUAUUUAUUAAUCUAUAUAGAUUGUUUCUCAGCCUGCUUUAUGCUUUAUUGAGUUGUUUGUAUGCUAUGUUUGCCUCAUUUGUAUAGGAAUCUCACUUACUCAUCUAUAACAAUUAGAGAGAGACACUGCUUUGUUUACCAGUUAAUUAAUAUAUAGGAAAAUUGGGGUUAGUUGUUUUUAGUAAUGAUUCCAUGCCAUUCGAUUUAGCUGUUUCUUCUCUGCUCAGUGUGUGUAUGCUUCCUAAUAAACACCUGACUAAUCACUUGGUACAUAGUCAUACCUAUUGAUCCCCUAUUUUCGUGGUGCCUGAGAAAUAGUACAAGCAUGUAUAAUCUACAGUUUAAGAAAGCUCAAACCCUUGCUAUUCUCGAUUCUUUUAUCACCUUUUGACAGCUUUAGGAUUAGCUAACUAGCACAGAAUUAUCCAGUUACUAUCAACAUUGGGUAUCUCAGCCGAAAUGAUAAGACAUACACUGCACUUACUUACAGUGUCAUCUUAGCAAUACAUCUUUAGAAUCAGAAAACAUUCUACAGAAAACAAACAAGUAUUAUUUGGGGCUGGACGAUGAUAUG